rnacentral:rRNA from 1 species
UACGUAGGGACCAAGCGUUGUUCGGAUUUACUGGGCGUAAAGGGCGCGUAGGCGGCGUGUUAAGUCAGCUGUGAAAUCUCCAAGCUUAACUUGGAACGGUCAGCUGAUACUGAUGUGCUAGAGUGCAGAAGGGGCAAUCGGAAUUCUUGGUGUAGCGGUGAAAUGCGUAGAUAUCAAGAGGAACACCUGAGGUGAAGACGGGUUGCUGGGCCAACACUGACGCUGAGGCGCGAAAGCCAGGGGAGCAAACGGG